UUGCAUUUCAUCUCAUCUUUCGAUCUUCUGAGCAAGAUACGGAUCAAAUAUUAGGAUAUUAUCUUAGAGCUCUUUGAUCGAUUUUCGAACUUCAUCUUUGACUCACUUUAUUCUAGAUGAAAUCUUAUCAUCUGAGCAAUCCGUGCAUCAGAAAACUAUACCAGAAACAGUCGGAACAGCCCAGCUGUCACGUCCAGGUUUGGAAGCAUUAUAUUGCGGCUACACCUAGAAAGUGUUUUUAUUUGCUGUCGUAGGACAUGAAGACCUCAAACGCAACUCUCAAACGUUAGGACCAAGCAACGGAACGCUUUAGCAGAAAUCCUUCAUAAACAAUGAUGAAUAUAGAACAUAAAUAUAAUGAGAUUGGAUUGUGAAAAAUAAAAGUAUUCAUGUU